GGAUUGAAGGCUGAAAUUACGCCUUCAUGAAGUCGGAAUUGCUAGUAAUGGCAGGUCAGCAUACUGCCGUGAAUACGUUCCCGGGCCUUGUACACACCGCCCGUCACACCAUGAGAGUUGGGAAUACCCGAAGCCUGUGAGCUAACCGUAAGGGGGCAGCAGUCGAAGGUAGAAUCAAUGAUUGGGGUGAAGUCGUAACAAGGUAUC
rnacentral:rRNA from 1 species